ensembl:lncRNA
GCCGGCAUCGCGGGCGGCCGAGGCUGCUGCUGCCGCGGGGUCGCGGGGGAGAGGUGCCGCCGGGCGAGGAGGAGGAAGAAGAGAAGUAGCUGCCGCCGCUGAGAAAGUUUGCAGAACUCCCGCCGGCCGUGCGCAUGAGGUCUCCUCGCAUCAAUCCAUCCGCGCGGGCUGCGGCCCCCUGUUGCUGGAAGCGGCGGAGCCGCGGUGCGAAGCAAUCGCCCCGGGACCGCUCCGAGCCCCCCGGCGCUGCUCCCUGCCCGGCCCGGUCUGGUUCGGCUCGGCGGCUCCGCGGCGGCGUGGAGCUCAGCGCAGAGCGGGGCGCGGAGGAGCGCGGCUCCGGAGUGCGCUUGGGGACUUGAAGGCGGCGUCGGGAGUACUCAUGGUGCUGACCCGAUCCUCAUGCAGUUCCGUGCCUCUUUCGCUUUUCUUUUUUCUUUUUUGCACCAAAUAAAUGCCCGGCUGCUGCCGCUGCCUUCUCGAGAGCUCUUAACUCUCCGCUCGCAGCAUCUCUGCACAUGCCAGCCGCUCCGAUCCCGCAGGCGGUGCCGGCUCCUCUCGUUCCCUUGGGCUCGGGUCGCACUUCGGGCAGCAGAGAGGAGAAAUGUCUCUCCCCGUCAGCGCGAAGGCAGCGCGGGGAAGGCAGGAAGGUAGGCUUCGAGGUCUCUUUCUCUCUGGGCGACUGAUGCUGCUGCUGUUGUCAACAAGCCCUGCAAGCUGUUAUGCGGAUCCGUCUGUGGAUCUUUUUUUCUUUGCAAGGCUUUAAAUACAAAAGUGCCUUCCGAGCAGCGGCAACGUGCUCUGAUUAGGCCUCAUUACGCAUGCAUGGAAAAGCAAACAAACAAAAAAAAUUAGCAACGCUUCUUCUUUUACACAUCCCCCAGCCAGCGCUCUCUCGCUCUCUUUCUCCUUUUCUCCACUUUUUUCUCCCUUCGCUCGGCCCCCUUUUCCAGCUCUGCGACUUGCCAUUGGCCCAGCCUGUUGUUGAAACUUUUUUUUUUCUUUUUUUUCCCCUCCCUCCUCUCUUUACGAUCUGCUGGAGUGAGGGAAACGAAAAGGGGGGCUGGAGGGCAGCUCACAUUCAAAGCUUGAAAGGAAAGGCUUAAGGAGAAUGACAGCCCCCCCGAGGAGCCCCUCCUCCCGUUAAGGCGGCGCGGCCCCGCGCAGCCACGGGGCGAAGGCACAUCUCCGAGCGGAGCGGAGGCCCCGCUCCCUCCGGCUCACGUGGGGGCGAGGCGGAGGCUCCGGGCUCCGGAGAGUGGCUUUGUCCGUACUCCGUGCCGACGUGCUGGUAGCGGGGUGCAGCAACCAUGUAAAUCACCACAAGGAAAAUGCUGCUGAGCAGGCCCAGCUCUGUGCUGUUCUCAUGGAGCAUUUCCAUGGAUCGCAGUGGAUCCAGGUGCUCAAAUGAAGAUCAAAGCUGGUCCAGGGGAUAGGGCUUCCUUAAUUGAACAUCGUGGACGUCAUUUGUCAAAGGCAGAGCAUUGCAUGAACUAAGCAUAUUCCUGAGAGAAUGUGCAUCAGGAGCGGCUGAGUGGCCAUGUUGAAACCUUUCUGUGAAUUUGGUAACCUUCCAGAAGCCAUGCAUACCACCAGGUGGAAAACUGCAGCCUGAAUGUCAUAGUACAAGUAUUGGAAGAGUAAAGCCCAGCUCGUAGCAGAUAACCCAGAGCAAGCCACUAUUUGAAUGCAUUCACAUAAUGUGUUCGAUGAAUUAUUAGAGAAUAUGACAAAAUUUAUGUUUGUUUGCACGUCAUUUGAGAACAGAAAAUGGGGCAAAAGCUGUCAAACAAGGAGCUUGUUGUGAACAGUUCAGGCAGUAUUAGUCUUCUUUUAGGUGGAAUGUGACCCUGCUAACCCUGAAGUGUGAGUUAGACCUUUGAUGUUCAAGGGGAUUUGGAAUUAGGCAGACAGAGUUCAUCCAGCCUGAGACAGUAGGGUGUAAGUGACCACUGCAAACUCUCCCUUUCACUCAAACCAGGCCUGGUUUGCAACCAGCCUUCAAACCGUGAGGAACGGGUGUAGGAGAAUGUUUUUUUAAAUCUGGGUAGGAGGUGGCAAGAGGUCUGUUCCUUUUCAAAAAAAAAAAAAAGAAAAGAAAAAUUAAUGGAGGACAAACAGUAGAGAUAAAAGGGAAGAAAACGCUCCUUUUUCAUGUCUUUUCUCUUGUUUUUCAGUAAGAAGUUACCAUAUAUAGAGCAAUCACUGUCAACAUUAUCAUAUUAGCAUUUACUGUGCUGGAAAGUCUAACAAGGUAUAAAAUACUUCUGUGUCUUUGUCAAGUUAGCCAAAAAGAAACUUUUUUUGUGUGUUUGUAGAACAUGAAUGCUAUAAGGAAAAUGUUCUAGUCACAGGUGAAAAGCCUCAGUAGUUUUUUUCUCCACUUCUAGCAUUUUAAUUUCACUGCGGUUGUAGUAAUGUUCAAAUCUGGAGGAUGCCUCUGGAUGUGAGCAUUUCCACUGAGUACUUACAGCCACAUUACAAUUAAGUUAAUGUUCACAGACAGCACACCUGAAAAGGCACAGAAAGAAUUCAGUUUCUUUUGGGACAAGUAGGCAUUUAUGGUCAUGAGUGAAAAUCACCUCGGUCCAAAAAAUUAAACAAAAAAGCCCAGAGUAUUCUGUUCCUAGAACUUCAAAUUAAAUGUUUAAAACUGCAGAUUAAGGCUGAAGAGGAGUACAUGUCUUUAUGUUCCACUCAUGACAGGAAAGGCUUUGAUGCUGCAGAUAGGUCUUUGUCCCUUGGAGAUGCUGAUGCAAAUGUGCUUUGUUCAUGGAAUGGCCCUGGAAACAGUCAGAAAGGGGAGGAUCUUCUCUGCGCUGGCAACAAGGCAAAAACCCAAUUGCAGCUGUGCAGUGGCUAUUGCAUCAGCAGUGCAAGUCAACAUUUCCCCAGGAAUGUAAAGCCAUCUGUCACAUCCCUGCAACCUUUCUUGGUUACUCUCCCAGUGUGCUGCGCUGGCCUUUUUUUUUUCUGUCUGACACAGAACCUUUUAUUGGAACAUAUUUGAAAAGCUAAAUUCAGCAAAUGCAAGUUAUUAAAACUGUUUUUUAUAUGAUAAAAAUACAAAUGUGGGAGAUACUUUUUCACAAGUCAAAUUAUUGAACUGUGAUGUUUUGAGGAAACAGUUUCUCUCUUUAUUCUAAGAAUAAAUGAUUGUAGCAUACACGAUCAUUUAUUUAGAAAUAGGGUCAUUUCUUGUACUUUACUAAAUCUUGUCUUGAAAAGGUAGAAAAACAGAAAUAUCAAGAAGACUAUAUAUUAUGUAAUUGUAUACUGUCUUUGCUGAACUUUGAAAAGUUCUUUCAGUGCCCUCUCCUUGCUCUCAAUGCAAAGUAAUCUACUACCCACUGUUACUCUUAUCAGAUGUCUUUUCUGUGGAGUGGGCUAGCUCUGUUUCAGGAACAAAUUCUUGUGCUAGAUAAGGUCAAGUGAGAUAAGUUUUUGGAGACUGAGUUUUAAUCUUGCUUUGUUGUAAAUCAUGAGAAAGCAUGCUGAUUUUCAUCAGUGAGAAUUCUUACUUGGGCACCAAGUCUCCAGUGAUCACUUUGUAAUGUCACAAGUUAUUCAUAAUCUACUAUUGAGGUCACAGAAAAGUAUUCAUGUUUGGUUCUCUUAGGGAAUGUCUAGGCUUUGACAUUGUUUCUUUCUAGCUUUGUGCUUUAUGUAAUUAUAACAGAAUAACAUGCUUGGGGCACCUUUCAUUUUUUGUCCUGUGAGAGUUUAAUAAACCAUGAGAGGUAUUUUACAACAUGAUGAGUGCUCUUGUGCAAUGUUUCAUUGGCCACAAAUCCUCAAGUCACCUUCAGGAAUUCCAGAUGCCAG